UAUCAUCUUUUUAAGUGGGAGAACUUGCACAAUUGGUGGCUGACUAAAUAAUUUUUAUGCCCCACUGUACAACUCUCAAACCAUUUAGCCUAAGCAAUGCUAGUCACUUCUAGACUGGUAGCUACCUUCAGCAGAUUAAACAUAUUUGACUAACAUUAAUGUAAGCAAGCUAACGUUUGCAAAUAAGAGUAUCUGAAUCUUGUAGCCAGAAUUUUCUGAAAAACACUUGUUACUAAAAAUAGAAUUGCCAACACAGCUAACUCUCUGUUUGUGUGUUGUUAGCAAUGAUUAAUGUGUAUCAAUUGUCUAUGGUUGGUUUGCUUGUUGGUUCUCAGCUGGCUAGACAUCUUGCUGCCAAUUUAGUGAUGCUAACUAGCUAACAGCAAGCUGACAAUAUUAAAAUGUCCAUGUUAGGUGUGCUAAGCUUGCCAGUCUAAUACAGAUCAAUGCAAUUAGCGGUGUGGUUUAAUUGUGUAUUGGUAUGUAUUUUGUUUUAUGUGGUACAGAAUCCACCAGGAUGAUUUUCCAACCGCUGGCUCUCCACAAGGUGAAGUCCUGCUGAAAUACACACGAGCAUGAGGGAGCGGACACACCUUGCAGUUAUAGAGCACCACAAGACUGUGGGACAGAAACCACCUAGGGACACUGAAUGGAGACGUGCAGUACCAGCAAAUCCUCUGCAAGAGAUCCAAACAGUUGGUGUUUAAGAAGGUCUACGAGCCCUGCACUCACCACUUCUGGCAGAGUCUUAUCCAGCUGGCUGUACGCCGCAGACAGGACAAGACCAUUCACCACAAGCACAAAGAGUCUCAGCUUCCCCAGCCCACCAUGCCAAACACCAUUGCCAGUGUACCGAAGCCGGAUAAAGGACAGUGUGGCUCAACAUAAGAGAAUGUAGAACCACCAUAAAAUAAAUACAGAUAUUUUCUAUUAAUCUUAAAAAUGUGUCUGCCUUUAUGGAUUCACAGAAUAUUUGUAUUUAAGUUAUACAGGGCUUUAUAGCAUCAAACAGAUGUUAAAGCUUGUUUACAGUCCGUAUAUUGACAUGCCUGUAGACAAUUGUCAUAGCAACAUCAUGAACAUUCUAUUGUCGUCCGAGAUCAAACUUGUCGUUGUCGUUCUGAAAAAGUAUAAACACAAAAUGACAGCCUCUGCAUGACAUCAGCAGUCCGGUGCUCCAAAUAGCAUACUUUCUCUAUUUUAAUAAUAGAGAUUAAACACAUUUGUUUAAAAAUAUAUUCAGCAAAUGUCAACCAAUCAAGUCAGGCAACUAAAAGCAAUUUUCUAAACAAUAUUUUGGUUUGUUGCUAGCUAGUGUCUAAACGUCUAGACUUUAGUUACUUUUGAUUCAUUAUUACAGGUAAAUAAACCCAUAUCAUCAUUAUUUACAAGCUAAUGGCGAGCUUACCUUAAUAGGUUACUGCCACAGUGUGAUGAAAUAAAAGUAGGUCAUUCUAUGUGACAAUUUUAGAACUACUGCAUCAUCUGGUCUCAGGAGGAUUUGGUCUGGUUGCUGUGGCAGUCCGGUAACCACGUCCAUUGCGACAGUCGCAGAGACUUAUUUUUUUUUCAUGUUUACAGAUAUUCCACCACCAGGGGAUAAACUGGCCUUUAGACAUUCAGAUAUCCCCCCCAAAAAGAUUUGUCAAUUUCUAAAAUACAGGUGAAUGUGCACUAUUUAAUGCUAACUCAAAAUGAGUACUGGGUGAUCAGCAGAUGAUGUUAGAGAUGGUCAUGAUGAAAUUGCCAUUCACAAAAAAACAUUCAGGAAGAAAAUACAGUAUGAUCAAUGUAGUAAAGUGCAGGGAAUAUAUGUCUGAGGUGUAAAGUGCAGACAUUUUUUGAUCAGCAAAUGAUGGGAGGGGUGUUGUCAUGAUUAAACUGCCAUUCAGCUCCUCUUGUCAUCUAUUGCUUGAAAUAUAGCAUAAUGUCCAAUCUAUUGAGAGGGAUACAGUUUUGCUCCAAUGAAAACACACAGGCAAAGGAAUUGUGUUUCUCUCUAUCUAGAAUCCACUCCAGGAAGAAGCCCAGGUACCACAUGGUAUUGUCUCUUAGACAAAAAAAGAUUUACAACUGUAAAUUAUUGCAUUAUUGUUUCUCCUCACUGUUAGUUAACCUAGCUGGCUGGAAAGCCAAUAAUUGUUAUUUACAUCUGUUUGGAAUCCUAUCACGUGUCAUGCUUAUAGUUUUUAGAUUGAUUAUGAUAGUGAAUGCAUUUCAAUGUCAACCUUUGUCAAUUAUGUUACAUAGCUAGCUAGUAAAAUUAUUUACAGUUGUUGAUGUUACACAUGUUUGCUAACAGGUUAUAAAUGCGAGGCUGGCACAUAGCAAGUUAGCAGGCACCAGGCAAACUAGCAGGCUAACAUUUACUGGUAAACCUAGCUUUAGGUAACUGGUUGUAAUGUUAGUAGCUUGCUGUUCAGUAGCAAUUUCUAUGAAAAAAUAUAUAUACGUUUUACAAUCAAGAUAAAAUAGAUCUCCGAUUUGUAAAAACCUCUUCUCUUUUCAGUCAUUUAAUUUAAUUUUACCUUUUAUUUAACCAGGCAAGUCAGUUAAGAACAUAUUCUUAUUUUCAAUGACGGCCUGAGAACAGUGGGGGCAGAACAACAGGGGCAGAACGACAGAUUUGUACCUUGUCAGCUCGGGGGUUUGAACUCGCAACCUUCCGGUUACUAGUCUAACACUCUAACCACUAGGCUAUGCUGCCGCCCCAUAUCAUAGAUAUGGCUACCGGUAGCUGUUUAGCUAACUUAGCUAACUAGACUAGCUACCUACCUAAGUUAGUAAACAGAACAAUAAGUUGAAUGUCAAUAGAAUAUCAAAAAAUACUCCCUCGUCAAAUUUGUGUUGAGAGGAAUCAUUUGAAGCCAUUGCUGUCUGGUCAGUAAUUUGUUUUUCACAAAUGAUUUUGUGUUGUGUCUGCCUCCCUUUCAACAAAGCCUGUAUUGGGGGAGGGACGGGUCCAGAUCAGGAGGCCCUGCACCACAGGAGUUGUAGUCUUUCAGAGACUGGAAAAACAAUUGUCACCUUGUAUACAGUGCCUUCAGAAAGUAUUCAUACCCUUGGACUUAUUCCACAUUUUGUUGUGUUAAAGCCUGAAUUCAAAACGGAUUCAAUUAUUAUUAUUCCCUCAUGCAUCUAAACACAAUGCCCCAUACUGACAAAGUGAAAACAUGUUUUUAGAAAAUUGUGCAAAGUUAUUGAAAAUUAAAUAUAGAACUCACUUCCAUAAGU